GAGCUGGGCUGCACUAAUUGACCUCAAGGGUCUCAGCUGUGCUAAGUUGGGUGUUUGUUAGAUCUCUGUUAGGCUUGUAAUUAGUGCAGGGAAUCUAGGUCAGAGGCGACGGGCUGGCGCGAAGGUCUCCUGGGGCCGGAAGAAAGGUGGGGAAUAGCAAACAGGUUCCUCUCUGUGUGGGUGGGGCGAGCUAGGGACAGGGGACCGCGGGCCUCAUGGGGUCCACACAGACAACAGGAUCACGUGCAGAAAGGCACUCAGCUCUGUUGUGGGGUGUGUGUGUGUGUGUGUGUGUGUGUGUGUGUGUGUUCCUCUGGCUUUUACUCGGGUUUCCUUCCAACCUCUCCAUAUAUGGUGCGGCUCUAGAGCGGGCUGGGGAUUGGCUGCUGUUGUUGGGAGACCGGGCGGUAGGAGGGAAGCGAAAAAGAAAUGAACCAGGCUUAGGGAGGCAGGGAGAAGGGGGAGGGCGCAGUAGCCCAGCUCCCGGGGUUGCCGAAGGGGGCUAAGUCUGCUUGUCUGAGGUUUAGACAGGCGAGAGACUCUUUGGAACCGGUUUCUGGGGAGAUGGAGAGCCUCCCAAAGGAGCUUCCCUUUUCCAUUUCCUCUGCGCAAGAAGAUAAUGUAACAAAGUCAAUGGAAGGAAGAAGAGAGGAAGCAAGGGACAUCUUGCAAGAGUGUCCACAGGCAGCUGUAUCGUGAGCGUUGUCCCAAGGAGCCACAGUCCUUUCGCCAGCGGCUCCCUCCGUCCACUCCCCAGACACGGCGCCUGGGAAGGAAGCGGCGUCCUCCUCUUGCCGGUCGCCCACCACCACGAACGAUGCUCCUAGUGGAAACCGGGCUUUGUGUUGAGCUGUCCUGAAGCCCACGGACUGUGCCCCACUCCGCCCUUACUCUCUCUCUCUCUCUGGAAGAGAGGUGUGGGGUGUCAAACACUGACAGUGACGAGCCUGUACCCCAGCCCUUGUCCAAAGGGUGCUCUGGCCAUCUGAGCUCCAGGUCCUGGCCUGCUGAGCGGUGCUAAUCAGAGCCGCCACAGCCUGCACGUGUUGACCGACGGGCUCUUCCCACACGCCGCCCUUCACCCAUUCAACAGCUCGUGUUUAAAGCCCAGGGGGAGACGGACACCCAGAAAGCCUGUGCUCACUUCACCACCUUGUGGCAUGGGUGCGCCAGCAGAGAAAAGCAGCAAAUAAAAUAAAUGGAGUUGUGCAUCCUAUUGUGGACAAGCUCGCAAGAAAGCCCGGCAGCUGCAGGCGGCACAUGGGAUAGGCAGAGGUGUUCUCGCAGAGCUCGGCCGCUCGGCACUGUCUGUGGAAGGAGCGGGGAGACUACAGGAAACCCUUGCACGGCUGAAAGAGGAACCCAGACAUAGGUUUGGUUUCCCCCUUGAACCUACCCAGCUUGAAUCACAAAUCAGUUUCACUCUUAGUUCAGUUCUUCCACGGGGUCAGCAGUUCCCAGUUCCCCUGUGCUCGGCCUCCUAGUCAGGUGACCAAGCUAGUCCAUCCGGCCGAGGGAAGGGCAGCCCAAGACCCCACCAACCCCCACCUUGCGUUAUGGGGAUGGAACCCAGGUCCUCACCAUACUGGGCAACCACUCUACCGCUGAGCCCUUGCCUGGCCCCAGCCCGAGGCAGCUCAAUCUUGAGAGACUGCUAUGCGUGAGAAGCCAGUGUCGCGCCUGGGAGAGUUUAAUUCCACACAUCCUCUGCAGGGACGGGGUAAAUUUCACUUCUCCUGUGGCAUGGACAGGUGGCCUUGGCCUCCACAUCCCUAGAACUAGAGUUAGGCAGCUGAAAUUUCACCCUCAGAUUCAAAGUGCGGAAUGGGACACACGAGAAAACCUGCUCUUCCCCAGCCCCUUCUGGAUUUAGAAGCCUGUGUGUGGCUCUGUCCAUCAGCCACAGGCCCGGGAGGUGGGCAGGGUCUGCGAA